AACGAACGCUGGCGGCAUGCCUAACACAUGCAAGUCGAACGAGACCUUCGGGUCUAGUGGCGCACGGGUGCGUAACGCGUGGGAACCUGCCCUUAGGUUCGGAAUCACUCCCCGUAAGGGGUGCUAAUACCGGAUAAUGUCUUCGGACCAAAGAUUUAUCGCCUUUGGAUGGGCCCGCGUUGGAUUAGCUAGUUGGUAGGGUAAAAGCCUACCAAGGCGACGUUCCAUAGCUGGUCUGAGAGGAUGAUCAGCCACACUGGGACUGAGACACGGCCCAGCCUCCUACGGGAGGCAGCAGUGGGGAAUAUUAUACAAGGGGCGAAAGCCUGAUCCAGCAAUGCCGCGUGAGUGAUGAAGGCCGUAGGGUUGUAAAGCUCUUUUACCCGGGAUGAUAAUGACAGUACCGGGAGAAUAAGCUCCGGCUAACUCCGUG
rnacentral:rRNA from 1 species